rnacentral:rRNA from 1 species
GUAGGUGGCAAGCGUUGUCCGGAAUUAUUGGGCGUAAAGCGCGCGCAGGCGGUCCUUUAAGUCUGAUGUGAAAGCCCACGGCGUCAACCGUGGAGGGUCGAUUGGAAACUGGGGACGUUGAGUACAGAAGAGGAAAGCGGAAUUCCAAGUGUAGCGGUGAAAUAGCGUAGAGAUUUGGUAGGGAACACCAGUGGCGAAGGCGGCUUUCUGGUCUGUGACUGACGCUGAGGCGCGAAAGCGUGGGGAGCAAACAGGAUUAGAUACCCUGGUAGCCCACGCCGUAAACGAUGAGUGCUAAGUGUUAGGGGGUUUCCGCCCCUUAGUGCUGCAGCUAACGCAUUAAGCACUCCGCCUGGGGAGUACGGCCGCAAAGGCUG